rnacentral:rRNA from 1 species
GAUGAACGCUGGCGGCGUGCCUAAUACAUGCAAGUCGAGCGAACAGACGAGGAGCUUGCUCCUCUGACGUGAGCGGCGGACGGGUGAGUAACACGUGGAUAACCUACCUAUAAGACUGGGAUGACUUCGGGAAACCGGAGCUAAUACCGGAUAAUAUAUUGAACCGCAUGGUUCAAUAGUGAAAGACGGUUUUGCUGUCACUUAUAGAUGGAUCCGCGCCGCAUUAGCUAGUUGGUAAGGUAACGGCUUACCAAGGCGACGAUGCGUAGCCGACCUGAGAGGGUGAUCGACCACACUGGAAGUGAGACACGGUCCAGACUCCUACGGGAGGCAGCAGUAGGGAAUCUUCCGCAAUGGGCGAAAGCCUGACGGAGCAACGCCGCGUGAGUGAUGAUGGUCUUCGGAUCGUAAAACUCUGUUAUUAGGGAAGAACAAAUGUGUAAGUAACUAUGCACGUCUUGACGGUACCUAAUCAGAAAGCCACGGCUAACUACGUG